rnacentral:rRNA from 1 species
UACAGAGGUCUCAAGCGUUGUUCGGAUUCAUUGGGCGUAAAGGGUGCGUAGGCGGCGCGGUUAAGUCGGGUGUGAAAUCUCGGAGCUUAACUCCGAAACUGCAUUCGAUACUGCCGGUGCUUGAGGACUGGAGAGGAGACUGGAAUUUACGGUGUAGCGGUGAAAUGCGUAGAUAUCGUAAGGAAGACCAGUGGCGAAGGCGGGUCUCUGGACAGUUCCUGACGC